rnacentral:ncRNA from 1 species
UCUGCGAAAUGGCAAAUGACGCGAAAGCGGCAGACGCAAAGCUACAGGGGCUAAUCGGCUUGGUCCGCAUGCCUGCCAGCUACCGAA